AUGGGAAAUAAUUGGCCACUUCCGGUUUGUUGGAAGUCAUGUUUAGUCUCCAGUAAUCAGUUUAUGUAUCUAUAUGACAAAAUAUAUGGAUUCUGAGUACUUUUGAGAUGAAAAAAUUGCAAAAAAGGCUACUUCCGGUUUUCUCAAGGUCACUUCCGGUAGUCAUUUUUCAAGGUCAUUUGUCACCUAAUCUUUUGUACAAGGUCAAAUGCCUUUAUAAUGAACUUAGUUGAAGUCAUAAUCAAAUAACCUCAUAUCAAGACAUUUGAGGGGCAACAACUCCUAUAAGAUGCCAUUAAAUUGUAUAAGACUAAAUGUAGCAUAUCUUCAUUACAAUAAAGCUUACAUUUUGCACUUGUUCUUUAGUAUGUAUCUUUCAAAGUGUCGGAGAAAAUGCAAAAACAAGCAAAAGUCACAAUUGAGAACUUGACCUUGACCUUUGACCUUGACCUCAUUUUCUAAGUUAGGACCUAGGGGACUCAAAUAAAAACAUUCCAGGGUUAUACGGUUAACUGUUUAUGAGUUAAAUGAACAUACCGACAAAUUUAUUUUGUUAAGGGAGAUAACUCCAUAAAAAUUUCAUCGAAUCGCUUCGAUCCAAAUAAGCCAAAAAUUACUGAGGAUGUAACGAACAAUUUGUAAAAAGAAUUUUGUCGAUAUCUUUUUUUGUUACGAAGGAGAUGCACACAGAUGAAAAACAGUGAAUAGGGAGAUAACUUUUACAAAGAAAAUGGUUCGGCUUAGCAGGGUGAAAUUUAAAAGCGCAUAAACUAUACG
rnacentral:lncRNA from 1 species